rnacentral:rRNA from 1 species
GUGGGGAAUAUUGGACAAUGGGGGGAACCCUGAUCCAGCCAUGCCGCGUGUGUGAAGAAGGCCUUUUGGUUGUAAAGCACUUUAAGCGAGGAGGAGGCUACCGAGAUUAAUACUCUUGGAUAGUGGACGUUACUCGCAGAAUAAGCACCGGCUAACUCUGUGCCAGCAGCCGCGGUAAUACAGAGGGUGCAAGCGUUAAUCGGAUGUACUGGGCGUAAAGCGCGCGUAGGUGGUCAAUUAAGUCAAAUGUGAAAUCCCCGAGCUUAACUUGGGAAUUGCAUUCGAUACUGGUUGGCUAGAGUAUGGGAGAGGAUGGUAGAAUUCCAGGUGUAGCGGUGAAAUGCGUAGAGAUCUGGAGGAAUACCGAUGGCGAAGGCAGCCAUCUGGCCUAAUACUGACACUGAGGUGCGAAAGCAUGGGGAGCAAACAGGAUUAGAUACCCGGGUAGUCC